UGACUGUAAAUAUUUAGUCGUAGCUCAGCGAUUGUUCGGAGCGGAACCUAAAUUCUCUAAAUCGAUUGAGUCUUCCGAAUGGUCGGCGUUAAAACCCACUGUCACGACGGAGUCUUCCGAAAGAGUCUUCGCAUAGUCAGUAGUAGAACCCAGUGUCAUGAUUUAGACCUCCGAAAGGUGUGUAAAAACCAUCAAAUCAUCAUCAUUUUCAUCUACUACUGAAGCCUCGACUGCGUCUUCCUAAUGGCCGGCGGUAGAACCCAAUAUCACGAUUGAGUCUUCCGAUGUCUUCGCAUGGUCGGUUAGAGGAAGAAUACGAAUUAUCAUCUUUUUCAUCGCUUUAACAAGCGAAUGGAUAACAUUAUUGUCGUUAAAAUUGCGACUCUGGUUCUGGGAGCACAAUGGUCUCGUAGGCCCGAAUACAGGCCUGUGCGGUUGAGCACUAGUGCUGGAACAUCCGCCUUUCUCUUCUUUGGUAUGAUUUCUAUAUAAGAGGGUUGCAUGCUGCUGGAUAUUACGAACAGAACGAUGGCUAUAUCAUGGAACCCGCCUUCAAUGUCUCCCGAGGCGGAUCCAGUGCUCAACAGCAGAGUCUUGGAUUCAGUUGCAGCCUUAGAGAGAGGACACAGUUCCACAACGGUGUCGUUCACAUUGGUUAUUGUACGAUCUUUAUAAAUUUGUAAUACUUUAUAUUAAUUGUAUGAAUACAAAUUAUUUUAUAUCCGA
rnacentral:sRNA from 15 species